GAUCCUGUCUGGGAGGUAUUUGUCCUCUAAACACCCCAGGAAGAAAGGGAGGAGACCCUUCAGUCACAGGAUGUGUAAGAGAGCAGAAAAUAGUGCAGCAGUAUCCAUUCCUGGGGCUGAGUCCUUGCCUCCCUGAGAAGGUGUUUGUGCUGGAAAGAGCUGAUGGAAGUUCCCAGACCAAGCGAGAUCCCUGGACAGGAAUUGUACCUGCAGCUGAGCCCCAAGUCCCUUCUGUUUCCAUGGUCUGUAAGGCAAUGCAAGGAAGAACAGAUGUUAACAAGAUAAAACCCCGGAGCAGAGAGAGACUUAAUCCCCUGUCCCCCUCACUGUCAUAGCAUCAGUUCCCAGACUCCAGAAAACAUUGUUGUUUUCACCAGCUUGCAGAACAUGGACAACAUGAUGUCCUAAUUGUCCUUUUCAAGUCUCCCAUCUCUAAUAUGAGGCAAUAAUCAUUUACAGAACACUUUGUUUAAGAAGUUAUUCCCCUCUUCUUUCUCCACCUGUGGGAGGCUGAAGGAAAAAGAUGCAAAGUAAGGCUCAAACAAGAAGAAUCUGAGGCAAUCAUGUCAGCCACUCAGCCAUGUCUCACCAUGAUGUCAUUGCUUGUCUGACAUAUAUGACACCUUCAUCACAUUCACCAUAACUGGACACAUCAGGAUCAUUACAUACAUCUGCUGAAAAUACUUCUUCAAUACCUAAAUUCCAAGAUUUCUUGCUCAUACCAUAUUGGUUUUUCUUAUCCCUUGCCUUCAUCAGCUUGCAAAAAAACAAACCGACAAUACUUGGUUUUUGUAGACUGCAAAUAUGUUUACAUCUUUGCUGUGGUUAUUACAGUGUUUUGCUUUGAAAAAUAUUAUCUGCAUUAUUACUGAAACUCUUUGCUUUUGAGGACAUUCCUACUGCCCUCACUAGUGUGAAGCAGGGCACCACUUUGUUGUUUGCUGGCAGUAUAUAAAAAUUAAACAUUUAUAACACAAAUUGACAGAGCUGUCAAUGUGUAAGAGGAAGAGAGUAGGCCCUAUUUUCCAUCUGGGGAGUUGAGGUGUGAGAAAAUUGACUUAUCCAAGGUAGAGUUAAAGCCUGACCAUAUUUUUCUUAAACAGUAAGAUGAAUGCAGUGGUUUGAUUAUAGCUUCAUAGAUAAAGUAUAUUAGUUUGGCGUGUGUUCUGUGCUUUAUUGAGGAGGUAGAAGGCAUAAAGGUGCCUUGGGGCUCUACCACCAAAAUCCCAACUUCUGGAGGUUAAUACUGCAUCAGACUGAUUUCACUAAAAUUACAGGGCCCCAGUAAGGGCACGUGUCCACUCAUGCUGCUGGAGCCAGGGCUCAGGGGGACAGCUUAGUCACAGCUCAGCAGGAAACCAGGGUCAGCAGGCAACAAGUCUACAGCACUGCACAGGGAUGUGGUAAAUGAUCUGCAGCAGCUGCAAACUGGAAACUGGAGAAAAAUAGUGUAAAUACUAGCUUUUCAGAGAAUAAUUACUUUAAGGUGGAAUUUUUUAAGAGGAAAAGAUUCAGAUUUUGGUUUCCAACUUCUCAUGUACCUAGGAGCAGAUGAGCAGCACAGCUGACUAGAUGGCUUUUCUCAAUGUUUAUAAGGAAAUAAAAAUUCAUAUGGUGUGUUUGAUCUU